rnacentral:rRNA from 1 species
UACGUAGGGGGCAAGCGUUGUCCGGAUUUAUUGGGCGUAAAGAGCUCGUAGGCGGUUUGGUAAGUCAGGUGUGAAAUCUCCACGCUCAACGUGGAGGGGCCACCUGAUACUGCCAUGACUGGAGUCCGGUAGAGGAGUGUGGAAUUCCCGGUGUAGCGGUGAAAUGCGUAGAUAUCUGGAGGAACACCGGUGGCGAAGGCGGUUCUCUGGGCCUUACCUGACGCUGAGGAGCGAAAGCGUGGGGAGCAAACAGG